rnacentral:lncRNA from 12 species
AUGUUUUUUUUAUCUUCCUUUUUGUGGGUCCACAUUUUGCUAUCCUUUCCCGGGGUUGGUCCUGGGCGGGGGAAUCCACCGUUACCCAGCCUUUACAGACUGGUUUCGCACAGGGGAAGAGCUUUAGCCAUGAGCUUGGGUAGAGUUCUUAGGCGGUUCUCACAGCAGCCCAGGGCCGCGCCUUCUCGAAGCUUCCUUGGCUUACAGUUUCCACUUCCGGGCACCAUUGCUGUCUCCAGGGCUCGCACUCUCUCCCUCCCCCUGGCGUCUCUGGGCAGGACUGCGCGUGCGGCCUCGGCAGGCCCCGCGCUCAUUGGCCAAGUGCAUCUGACGUCAGCCCCCACUUCCGGCGCUCCGGGGGGCGCGCCCGCCUCAGGACGCUGGAACCUCCUACGUCUCCGGCUCCUGUCAGAGGACCGGGAGGUGCGCCGCUUCUCGGGUCGCGCUGAGCGGUGCCGCCUCAAGGGAAGGACCGUCUGGGGGGGGAAAAUGCCACAGCUUCCCCCAUCCCGCCCUUUUCAUCCGUCGUUUCAACAGAGCUCCCCUUGGCUUGGCGCUUGCCUGAGGAUUAGGUGAUGUAUGUUUAUUUCCUUUUUAGCCUUGAUUGCUGAUCCAAGAAGGAAGCAGAUUUGGGCCAUAACCAUCACAAUGAUAGGUGUAGUUUUCUUUGAUUUUGCUGCUGACUUCAUUGAUGGGCCCAUUAAAGCCUACUUAUUUGAUGUCUGUUCUUAUGAGGAUAAGGAGAGGGGCCUGCACUACCAUGCCUUCUUCACAGGUAGAGAAUAUUCCAGAAAAUCUUUUCUUAAGCUCCCCAGACAGGGAGGCACUUCCACUAAAGCCAGCCAGUGUCUAUAUGCGUCAGAGUUUUUGAAUGAAAGGGUCUGUUGAUGGAAUGCUCCCAUCACGCGGCUCUGUCUUUCAGUGCAUUUCUCUAAACAAAUCAGCUUGUGACUGGGCUCUGGAGGUUUUGCAAAGGAAGUUUACAUAAGAGCUUUCUGAGGAAUCAUUUGUGGAGACAUUUACAACUGCAAUGAAAAGGGGCCCUUGUGCACUUUACUUUUUUUUUUCUUUUUUAAAAUCAGUAAUGUAGCACCAGCAGAAGAGAGUUAAUAAAGAUUCGAGCAGACCUCA